CCCAUCUGAACAUUCCGUCAGUGAAAGUCUAUGCGAUUUUUCAGAGUUUUGAUCAGCAUUUUUAGGAAAACUGUAAGGCUGAUCAGUCUGAAAAGAUAUAGCACACUAAUCUGGAACAGAAUAAAGGUCUAGUCUGAGUUGGGUGGAUGUAGCUUGAACAGUUUAGGAGGAGUAGCAAUUCGAAAUUUUAGUCUCAGAAAGUUAAUAAUAAUAAUAAUCGUAACUACAAUUGCAGUAAGUUGGCUUUUUCAAGACAAAUUAAUUAUAAGAAUACUGGUGACAUUUCUAUCUUUUUUUUUUUUUUUACUGCAAAUAGCAUUGAAAUAUUGAUGGGCUGCCACAAUAGACUGGUACAACCAAGACUGGCUUCCAAUCAGUCACUAAGUGGUCGCAUUCUAAAAAGGAUCUUCACUCAAAGAACCAUUUACAUUCGUCCAGAAAGACAACUUCUUGAAAUAGACCAUACAGUAAGUAAUUAUUUUAAUACAGUAUUAUUUUUACGUAUUCUGAGUGUAUUCAUGGUGUAAAAAAGGAAUAAAUUUUAUAUCAUGCAUGCCUGUCUUACAUGUGAUUAGCAUUUUCUUGUAAUAUCAAAAACAUUGCUUUUCCUGAUACAUUUUAGACCGAUGUUUCCGAAGAAGAACUAGAUAGCCCCGUUGAAGAUUCACAGAUGUCAUCUUCAAGGGUGCAAAAUGUGGGGUCAUGGUGUGCAACAGCAGAGAUUCAGCCCGUGUCUUCACAAGCAACACGCACUCGUCCUGUGUCUGAUUCAACAGCAGAGAUUCAGCCCGUGUCUUCACAAGCAAGAUUUACUGGAGAGUCAUCUGUAGCUAUGUUGGAUACUGUUGUUGAAGCAAGUGACAGUGAAUACAGAGUUGAAGAACUGACUUUGAUGGAUAUCUUGUUACCACUUGGGAAUGCGAUUUCAAGUGACUUGAUCAGAUUUAACAUCACAAGGAAGAGUGUGUGGGAAGGAACUGAACGGGCCAUGAGACGUCCAAAUUUCCUACCUUCAAAGACCAUUGUCAUUAAAUUUACAGAUGAUGUUGGCAUUCCCGAAGGUGCAAUUGACCAAGGGGGUCCAAAAAGAGAAUUCUUUAGACUUGUUCUUGAGCACAUUUGCAACUACAGCGGAAUGUUCGAGGGUGUAAAGGAUGAGAAAAUGUUAUCAUGCAACCUGGCUGGUAAUGAGCUGGAAAAUGUCACUGAAUUAUUUCAGUUAGUAAUUGUAUUUUUUGCUAAUAUUUUUUCAAGUAUCUCUUUAUUUUUUUACAGCUCUUAAUAAUGGCAGCUAUAUGAGGGCAGGACAGUUGGCUGCUAUGUCAAUUGUCCAUGAAGCCCCCCCCCCCCCACACUUCAUGUCACGACUGUGUGUUGAUGCACUGAUUCAUGGUCCCGAAGCUGUACAUGUGUCAGUGAAUGAUGUUGCAGAUGAUGAAGUAAGAUCGCAGAUUACAGAAGUAAGUGCAACCCUAUGAUUCCAAUUGCUUUGUAUAAUCAAUUUACUUUUUUAUGUUUUCUAAAUUAAAAGGCUUCUUGGGUUUGUUGUGCUAGCCGAUCAGGUUCUUCGGAUUUAAACUGACAUCCAGUAUUGCAGACGGAGAAUCUUGAGAAAGCAAAACCUUUUGGUUUCUCCAUUAGAGAUGUACCUUAAGCUGUGCCCUCUCUCUCCAUGUUUUUUCUGUGAUUUUGUGGUAGUGUCACAGACAAAUUUUGAAGCU
ensembl:lncRNA